rnacentral:rRNA from 1 species
AUGAACGCUGGCGGCGUGCCUAAUACAUGCAAGUCGAGCGAACAGACGAGGAGCUUGCUCCUCUGACGUUAGCGGCGGGCGGGUGAGUAACACGUGGAUAACCUACCUAUAAGACUGGGAUAACUUCGGGAAACCGGAGCUAAUACCGGAUAAUAUAUUGAACCGCAUGGUUCAAUAGUGAAAGACGGUUUUGCUGUCACUUAUAGAUGGAUCCGCGCCGCAUUAGCUAGUUGGUAAGGUAACGGCUUACCAAGGCGACGAUGCGUAGCCGACCUGAGAGGGUGAUCGGCCACACUGGAACUGAGACACGGUCCAGACUCCUACGGGAGGCAGCAGUAGGGAAUCUUCCGCAAUGGGCGAAAGCCUGACGGAGCAACGCCGCGUGAGUGAUGAAGGUCUUCGGAUCGUAAAACUCUGUUAUUAGGGAAGAACAAAUGUGUAAGUAACUAUGCACGUCUUGACGGUACCUAAUCAGAAAGCCACGGCUAACUACGUG